AUUGAACGCUGGCGGCAGGCCUAACACAUGCAAGUCGAACGAGGGGCGGACGGGUGAGUAAGGUCUGGGAAACUGCCUGAUGGAGGGGGCUAACUACUGGAAUCGUUAGCUAAUUCCGCACACCAUCAGAUGUGCCCAGAUGGGAUUAGCUAGUUGGUGGGGUAAUGGCUUCCCAAGGCGACGAUCCCUAGCUGGUCUGAGAGGAUGACCAGCCACACUGGAACUGAGACACGGUCCAGACUCCGACGGGAGGGAGCAGUGGGGAAUAUUGCACAAUGGGCGCAAGCCUGAUGCAGCCAUGCCGCGUGUAUGAAGAAGGCCUUCGGGUUGUAAAGUACUUUCAGCGGGGAGGCGUUACCCGCAGAAGAAGCACCGGCUAACUCCGUGCCAGCCGCCGCGGUAAUAC
rnacentral:rRNA from 1 species